rnacentral:rRNA from 1 species
UGGGGAAUUUUGGACAAUGGGCGAAAGCCUGAUCCAGCAAUGCCGCGUGUGUGAAGAAGGCCUUCGGGUUGUAAAGCACUUUUGUCCGGAAAGAAAUCCUUGGCUCUAAUACAGUCGGGGGAUGACGGUACCGGAAGAAUAAGCACCGGCUAACUACGUGCCAGCAGCCGCGGUAAUACGUAGGGUGCAAGCGUUAAUCGGAAUUACUGGGCGUAAAGCGUGCGCAGGCGGUUUGCUAAGACCGAUGUGAAAUCCCCGGGCUCAACCUGGGAACUGCAUUGGUGACUGGCAGGCUAGAGUAUGGCAGAGGGGGGUAGAAUUCCACGUGUAGCAGUGAAAUGCGUAGAGAUGUGGAGGAAUACCGAUGGCGAAGGCAGCCCCCUGGGCCAAUACUGACGCUCAUGCACGAAAGGCGUGGGGAGCAAAGCAGGAUUCAGAUACCCUGGUAGUCCACGCCCUAAACGAUGUCAACUAGUUGUUGGGGACUUCAUUUCCUUAGUAACGUAGCUAACGCGUGAAGUUGACCGCCUGGGGAGUACGGUCGCAA